rnacentral:rRNA from 1 species
ACGUAGGUGGCGAGCGUUGUCCGGAAUUAUUGGGCGUAAAGCGCGCGCAGGUGGUUAUACAAGUCUCAUUUAAAAGUGCUGAGCUCAACUCAGUGAUGGGUGAGAAACUGUAUGACUUGAGUGCAGGAGGGGUAGGCGGAAUUCCUAGUGUAGCGGUGAAAUGAGUAGAUAUUAGGAGGAACACCAGUGGCGAAGGCGGCCAACGGGACUGCAACUGACACUAAGGCGCGUGAGCCAGUCGAGCAAAAGG